GUGAGUUCUGUGCCUACUGCAUGGCCCGUGUCUGAAUGACCUCAUGAAGUUAUGUUUGUGCAUACGUGAGGGCGGAAGAGAGAAAGAAUGCAGCUAUGUGAGAGAGAAAGCUGUGCUGCGGGGCGCACAGCAUACCAGAACACAAUUAUCAGAAACAUGUGCUUUCCAGUUACCAAGACAAACCCUCACAGUCCAGUGAUUCUCCUCCACCCUGUUCACUAAGCCCACAGUCUCUGUGUUUGUGUCAUUUCCUGCUGCUUCUCUGUACUCACCGUGUCUUCCUCAGCAAUGUUCCUCCUUAGACGAUCCCAGAAAUGCACUCUGUCGCCUUCAUCCUCGGGCCAGUCCAGAUAGUUUCACAGUAAAUGCACAUUGUUCUUAAGUGGGGCAUCUUCUCCCAUCUUGCCCUAAUUACCGAUGAAAAGCAGAAAGCUCAAAAGGAGAGAUGUGUUCGAGGAAGAUGAGGAUGAGACGGUGUUUCUGCUCUUC